CGUCUAUAUACGUAUAGCAUAUCAAUAAGCGGAGGAAAAGAAACUAACUAGGAUUCCCCUCAGUAACGGCGAGUGAAGCGGGAAGAGCUCAAAUUUGAAAUCUUCAAGGGUUCUACCUUGACGAAUUGUAGUUUAAAGAAGUGUUUUCUGUUGGAGUUUUGGUAAAAGUUCUUUGGAAUAGGACAUCAUAGAGGGUGAGAAUCCCGUAUUUGACCAGUUACUUUCCAGCUGUGUGAUACACUUUCAAAGAGUCGGAUUGUUUGGGAAUGCAGUCCAAAAUGGGUGGUAAAUUUCAUCUAAAGCUAAAUACUGGCGAGAGACCGAUAGCGAACAAGUACCGUGAGGGAAAGAUGAAAAGAACUUUGAAAAGAGAGUUAAACAGUACGUGAAAUUGUCAAAAGGGAAGCGUUUGACACCAGUGUUGUUUUCUCGAAAAUCAAUUAAAAAUGGUGGGAUGUUGUGUUGUAUUGACUUUAUCAGCUUUCUGCACUUUUUUUCCUAUCUUUUUUAAUGCACUUUUCGUUUAACAAGUCAACAUCAAUUUCUUUUGUUGUAAAAGAGUCAUUGGAAGGUGGCUUUCUUUUCGGAGAAAGUGUUUAUAGCCUUUGGCUUCUGCAAUCGGAGAGAUUGAGGUCUGCAGCGUAGAUCCUUCGGGGUUAGAUGCAUUUGUGCUAAGUUAUAGCCUUUCAUAGACAACUUGUUGACUAUGAUCAGUCAUGUAGCUUACUCGCCUAUGUCAUUUUACCUACGCUUAGGAUGUUGAUAUGCAUGACUGAUAU
rnacentral:rRNA from 1 species